rnacentral:misc_RNA from 1 species
GGGGAUGACCCGACCCGGAUGACCCGACCCAGGUUGAGGCUCGCGGGGGAUGACCC